rnacentral:lncRNA from 1 species
GCCCAGNAUCUUAGGCCGCCGCCGCCGCAGCAGCGGGGGUCAGGGACAUCUAGGCUCACGAGAGGAGUGGCGGACACGACACUGCUCCUCCCCUCCACCGCAAGCCUAGGAGGCGAACUGGCUUGCAAGCAUGUUUCGGCCGCGACUGGAGAGCGUGGACUGGAGGCGGCUGAGCGCCAUCGACGUGGACAAGGUUGCCGGCGCUGUGGACGUCCUGACCCUGCAGGAGAACAUCAUGAAUAUCACCUUCUGCAAGCUGGAGGACGAGAAGUGCCCGCACUGCCAGUCCGGGGUAGACCCAGUGCUGCUGAAGCUGAUCCGCCUGGCGCAGCUCACCAUCGAAUACCUGAUGCACUCGCAGGAGUUCCUCACCUCGCAGCUAAACCUGGUGGAGGAGAGGCUGCGCCUGAGCCUGAUGGACUAUGAGCAGAGCAAGCAGCUGCUCACCAAGCAGGCUGGCGAGAUCAAGCUGCUUAAGGAGGAAUGUAAACGCAGGAAGAAGAUGCUGUCCACGCAGCAGCUGAUGAUAGAGGCCAAAGCUAGCUAUUACCAGUGCCAUCUCUGUGACAAGGCCUUUAUGAACCAAGCAUUCCUACAGAGCCACAUUCAGCGCCGCCACACUGAAGAUUCUCACCUUG